rnacentral:tRNA from 1 species
GAGGGUAUGAUUCAGUGCUAGAGCACAUGCUUAGUGUGCAUGAGGUCCUGGGUUCAAUCCCCAGCACCUCCA